rnacentral:rRNA from 1 species
GAGUUUGAUCAUGGCUCAGAUUGAACGCUGGCGGUAGGCUUAACACAUGCAAGUCGUGCGAGAAAGUAUCUUCGGAUAUGAGUAGAGCGGCGGACGGGUGAGUAACGCGUAGGAAUCUACCUAGUAGAAGGGGAUAGCCCGGGGAAACCCGGAUUAAUACCGUAUACCUCCUUCGGGAGAAAGAAGGCCUCUCUUUGAAGCUUUCGCUAUUAGAUGAGCCUGCGUAAGAUUAGCUUGUUGGUGAGGUAAAGGCUCACCAAGGCGACGAUCUUUAGCUGGUCUGAGAGGACGAUCAGCCACAUUGGGACUGAGACACGGCCCAGACUCCUACGGGAGGCAGCAGUGGGGAAUAUUGGACAAUGGGCGCAAGCCUGAUCCAGCCAUACCGCGUGUGUGAAGAAGGCCUUCGGGUUGUAAAGCACUUUAAGCAGGGAGAAAAAGUUAUAAGUUAAUACCUUAUAACCCUGAUGUUACCUGCAGAAUAAGCACCGGCUAAUUCCGUGCCAGCAGCCGCGGUAAUACGGAAGGUGCAAGCGUUAAUCGGAAUUACUGGGCGUAAAGCGCGCGUAGGUGGUUUGUUAAGUUGGAUGUGAAAGCCCUGGGCUCAACCUAGGAACUGCAUCCAAAACUAACUCACUAGAGUACGAUAGAGGGAGGUAGAAUUCAUAGUGUAGCGGUGGAAUGCGUAGAUAUUAUGAAGAAUACCAGUGGCGAAGGCGGCCUCCUGGAUCUGUACUGACACUGAGGUGCGAAAGCGUGGGUAGCGAACAGGAUUAGAUACCCUGGUAGUCCACGCCGUAAACGAUGACAACUAGCUGUUGGGAGACUAUGUCUUUCAGUGGCGCAGCUAACGCUUUAAGUUGUCCGCCUGGGGAGUACGGCCGCAAGGCUAAAACUCAAAUGAAUUGACGGGGACCCGCACAAGCGGUGGAGCAUGUGGUUUAAUUCGAUGCAACGCGAAAAACCUUACCUACUCUUGACAUACUUGGAGGCUCUUGUAAUGAGAGUGUGCCUUUUGGAACCAAGAUACAGGUGCUGCAUGGCUGUCGUCAGCUCGUGUCGUGAGAUGUUCCGUUAAGUCGGAUAACGAGCGCAACCCUUACCCUUAUUUGCCAGCGAUUCGGUCGGGAACUAUAAGGGGACUGCCGGUGAUAAACCGGAGGAAGGUGAGGACGACGUCAAGUCAUCAUGGCCCUUACGAGUAGGGCUACACACGUGCUACAAUGGGAGAUAGAGACGGACGCUAAGCCGCGAGGUGGUGCUAAUCCUAAAAAGUCUUUCGUAGUCCGGAUUGGAGUCUGCAACUCGACUCCAUGAAGUCGGAAUCGCUAGUAAUCGCGGAUCAGCAUGCCGCGGUGAAUACGUUCUCGGGUCUUGUACACACCGCCCGUCACACCAUGGAAGUGGAUUGCACCAGAAGUAGAUAGUCUAACCUUAGGGAGGGCGUUUACCACGGUGUGCUUCAUGACUGGGGUGAAGUCGUAACAAGGUAACC